GAUGAACGCUGUCGGCGUGCCUAAUACAUGCAAGUCGAGCGAACAGAUAAGGAGCUUGCUCCUUUGACGUUAGCGGCGGACGGGUGAGUAACACGUGGAUAACCUACCUAUAAGACUGGGAUAACUUCGGGAAACCGGAGCUAAUACCGGAUAACAUAUUGAACCGCAUGGUUCAAUAGUGAAAGGCGGCUUUGCUGUCACUUAUAGAUGGAUCCGCGCCGUAUUAGCUAGUUGGUAAGGUAACGGCUUACCAAGGCAACGAUACGUAGCCGACCUGAGAGGGUGAUCGGCCACACUGGAACUGAGACACGGUCCAGACUCCUACGGGAGGCAGCAGUAGGGAAUCUUCCGCAAUGGGCGAAAGCCUGACGGAGCAACGCCGCGUGAGUGAUGAAGGUCUUCGGAUCGUAAAACUCUGUUAUCAGGGAAGAACAAAUGUGUAAGUAACUGUGCACAUCUUGACGGUACCUGAUCAGAAAGCCACGGCUAACUACGUG
rnacentral:rRNA from 1 species